rnacentral:ncRNA from 15 species
UAAUAGUACUAGAUUUAAGGUGCCCUUAAAAAAGGGAGAAUAGGAAAGCUGGUUGAAAUCCAGCACGGACCCACCACUGUAAUCGGGGACAAAUCUUCAUGAAGCCACUGGGUAUGAAACCUGGGAAGGGGAAGAGGCGUAUGAACCGCAAGUCAGGAGACCUGCCUUAGAUUGAUGAUGUUCA